GUGUAUAGCUCAGUGGUGGUUGAACACUUGCCUAGCAUGCAGAAGGUCCUGGGUUGAAUUCCCAUUACCACA
rnacentral:tRNA from 1 species